rnacentral:sRNA from 1 species
UUGUUUUCUGUUGAGCUUGUUAUUCUCCCGUGACCCACCUUUGUUGCUCCUGGACCACUUGUCCCCAAUGUCGCUUUUCUAACAAAUCCAUGGUUAGUUAAUCCCUUUUCCUUCAGAUGAUGCAAGCAUUAUACUGAAAAAUACCCGCCAAGUGUUUGUUGAUUUGUUCAUACCAGUUUGUAC